UUUAUGUAUUCAGACCGGGUUCCUACUGGAUUGAAGGUUUUAGGGGAAAGGAGCAAAUAAAAGCAUUUGCAUGUUACUGGAAGCGCUAACCCCUUGGGGGAGUCUUUUUGGGAGGGAUGAGUCGUUUUGUGAAUGCAUACACACAGAGUGAAGUGGUCAGACACUUGGGGCUUUCCUCCAACUUUCUUUUUUGGUUUUGUUUGUUUGUUUGUGACAUUUCUUUGCUGCUCUAUCCUUAGGGAGCAGCAGAUGGCGCUCUUGUUAGCUAUUUGCUUUUGUGUGAUUUGACUAUUCAUUUAUCAACACAUCCUGGGCAGGAAUUCUUGUGAGUUAAGAGUUGAGUUUUUCCCCUAGACCUGCCUGUGUGCUUUCUGAGGCAGCCUCUGCUUUUGUCCCUGCAAAUAGAAAUAAGAACUCGUGUGGUGUUGUCUUUUGUGCUUUCACAUGGGAGUUGACUCGCUGCUUUGCAUGCUCAGCAGAUGUGUCCACGUGCGAGCCUUCUAGUUGGAGUUGGGCUGUACAUUGUCACCUCCACAACACCAGCGGUGGAAUUGGGCUGUACAUUGUCACCUCCACAACACCAGCGGUGGAGUUGGGCUGUACAUUGUCACCUCCAUAACACUAGGCUUGGAGUUGGGUUGUACAUUCUCACCUCCACAACACCGGCGUUGGAGUUGGGUUGUGCAUUCUCACCUCCACAACACCAGCGGUGGAGUUGGGUUGUACAUUCUCACCUCCACAACACCAGCGGUGGAGUUGGGUUGUACAUUCUCACCUCUACAACACCGGCGGUGGAGUUGGGUUGUACAUUCUCACCUCUACAACAUCGGCGGUGGAGUUGGGUUGUACAUUCUCACCUCUACAACAUCGGCGGUGGAGUUGGGUUGUACAUUCUCACCUCUACAACACCGGCGGUGGAGUUGGGCUGUACAUUCUCACCUCUACAACACCAGCGGUGGAGUUGGGCUGUACAUUCUCACCUCCACAACACCAACGGUGGAGUUGGGUUGUACAUUCUCACCUCCAUAACACUAGGGUUGGAGUUGGGUUGUACAUUGUCACCCCCACAACACCAGCGUUGGAGUUGGGUUGUACAUUGUCACCUCCACAAACCAGCGUUGGAGUUGGGUUGUGCAUUGUCACCUCCACAAACCAGCGUUGGAGUUGGGUUGUACAUUGUCACCUCCACAAACCAGCGUUGGAGUUGGGUUGUACAUUCUUACCUCUACAACACCGACCGGCGUUGGAGUUGGGUUGUACAUUGUCACCUCCACAACACCGGCGAUUCUGUAGUCUCACCUGUUGCCAUGCCUAAUGCUUUUCCCGGCUCUCCAGAGAUGCUGCUGCCUUGGGCAGACCCUCCCGACUGGAUUACUUCAACUCAGUUGUCUGUCCCUACUUUUGGCCCCUCCCACUCUUCUCCCCUUUGUGCUGCUAAAUGAUCUUUUCACAGGGAUGGUUUAACUAUGGCAUUGCUUCACUAGAAUCUGUAGUCGGGUCCCUUCCCCUUUGAGAUGGAGCGUAGCUUUUCUGGUUCCGUGUCUGUCUCCAGCCGUCUCAUUUCCCCUUCACCUUGGAGAGUCAGCCUUGCAGAGUGACUUGGAGCUUCUUCAAACUCCUUUUCAUCUUUGUAAAUGUUGGGCCCCCUGCCUAGAAGGCCUUCUGCCAGAAUAGCUGUCCUGAGCAUGCUUGGCAUGAGUAUAGGCACACCAGUGUCCAGCGCCUCUUCCUUCUCCAGCCCUUGGUCUGUCCUGUCCCCUGUGAGCCCCAUGUCCUUCAGGUAGGCCUGUUCGAUGGCAUGCCUUCCUGUGCUGGGGAGGGAGCUGAAUUUGAGGGGCCCCGCAAAGGGGUGAAGAUGCUCUGCUUCUCUGGUUCAGGCUGUCCGUUGUGCUCACCCUGUAGAUGCCUUUUGAAUGCUCUGUCAGGCCGAGUGGAUGGUUCCCUGGAGCUCACUGAAUCAGCCUGGAGGCACUAAGGCCAGCCACUGCUGUUGGGUGCCAUCCAUGGCUGCUGCCCUUUCAUCGCUGAAUAUCUAAAAAUCCAAAGCUAACGCGGAAUCGAGUGCUUUGUGCAGAGGCUCACUGGAAUGCUGGUGUCCCAACGGCCCGCAGUAGCCAGAGGCUCACCGUAACUUGGGGGAGGGAGGGGGGAAUGACAUGACUGUGUGUGAGCUGGGCAUGUUCCCCUUUAGUGCCCUUUGACAAAGCAAGAGACUGUCAGUCCAGACAGCAAAGUAAAAGCCGAGGCCACCUGCUGCGAACUGCAGGCAGAUAGGCCUGCAGCCCUUGUGGGACACCUUGAGGGUGCUGCCCUGUCAGCCUGCACACGAGGCUGAAGCACUUACGUUGAGGUGUCUCUCACCCCAGCCGUGGCACCGUCACUAAGUGUUUGAGUUCUGACAGGCCGUCCGUCUUCUCUCUGCACCUGCCGCUCACAGAGAGGAGGUGGCAUUGGGCCACCUCCAUCAAGUCAACCCCAGGAAAAGCUGGCUAGGACACUGCCCCUGCCACUUGCUUUCUGUUUAGUUGGCCCUCAGUGUUUAUCUGUUUCAUUUCGCUGUUUACCUUGUCUGUUGAGGACAUGCAUAGCUGUGAUGUACACGCAGUCCAUCUUCGGAUUAUUCUUAUGUUCCUGUCAUUUUAGUUGGUGUAGAAAACAACGGGCUUUGUGAUGAAAUUUCCAGACAUACAUUGUCAUUGGGCUCUGUUCAUACUGGCUUUCUGUAUUACUCUCCUGUCCUGUCUCCCAUCUAUCCCUUCCAUCCCUCCCUAGUUAGCGCCCCUCUGCCUUGUCUAACACACACACACACACACACACACACACACACACUCACACUCACACACACUCACACACGCACGUGAUACAUGAGAAUUACACAUAGGAGCGAAAUCAUGUGUCUGCAUAAAGUCACAUUGUGUAUAUACACUGCUUUUUUCUUUUUCUUUCUAGUCUGGCUCCAUUCUUUGGCUGUUGUGAGUAAGCACAAACAUGCUGGUGUCUCUGUUUGUGCCUGCCCUGAUUUCUCUGGGUCUAUACCAAGAAGUGACACGGCUGGAUUGCACAGGGGUUCUCUUUUCAGUUUUCUGGGAGUAUCCUUAUUGAUUUCCAAUGGGCCCCCACAGGUUUUCUGUUGGUGUGUGUGUGUGUGUGUGUGUGUGUGUGUGUGUGUGUUCCUAGGGGUCAAGCUGGGCCCGUGAUGGCCAUGUGUUCUGCCACUGAGUUCUGUCCCAAUUGUUGACAUACCAGCUUUAAUACCCCUCAUCUUCCCAUCAGUCCUGGGCUGGAUGAAGAGCCCUGGCGUUCACUGGUUUCCGAGAGGCUGCAAAGCUCACGCACACCUGUAGUCAGUACGGAGCUCUGGUUUAUGGAGCUUUCACUUGCGGUGCAGCUAUUCCUUAAGAUGCGCUCACCCUCGUGAAGGGCGUUGUCUUAGAGUGAGUGGCAUAGUAUUAUCUGCCCACUUCUCAAUCUGUAUGUAUCCUGCCAUUAUAUAUCAAUGAACUGAAGUAUUUGUCAUGUACUUUUAAAAUUUAGUCUAUUUUAUAUUUUUGCUUUACUUUUAUAUAUAACGCACAAAAUAAUCCCCAAUUAAAAUAAUUUAAUUUCUUUUACUAAAAUGUUAACUUCAUUGAGAUAAAUUUGUAUUCAUUGGAAAUUGGGUGGUAAGUGUCCAAGUACCACAAUCAAGAAGUAGAACUUUGCCGUCUCCGUCACUGUUGUGUUGCUGGGAAGAGGCACCAUGACCAAGGUAAUUUAUAAACGGAAGCAUUUAACUGGGGGCUUGCCUGCAGUUUCACCUUGGUUGGGAGUGUGGUGGCAGCCGGGCAGGCCUGGAAGCAUAGCAGUAGCCGAGAGUUUACAUCUUACCUACAAGUUAGAGGCAGAGGAGAGCUCAGGACUGUGUUUGGCAAGGGCUUCUGAGACCUCAAAGAAAAUCUAUUCGCCUCUUUCAUUACCCCUACAAUAAUAGGCCUACCUGUUGUAAUUAUCAUCGUUGUGUCAGCCCCAAUGACACACCUCCUCUGACAAGAGCACACCUCCUACUCCUUCCUAAACAGUAGCUGGGGGCCAGCACUGGGCCUAAGAGCCUGUGGAGGCCGUUUCUAGUCAGACCAUCGCAGACCCUUGACAGUCAGUUCCAUGUGUUGCACCUGCCUCCUCAGCUACAUAAGCAUUGAUCUGAUUUUGUCAACACCCAUCGCCAUUGUCAGUAGAACACCAUGUAGUUCACAUCGUAGGUACCCUCUUAUGUGCUGCCCCCAAAAUAAUAACCACGAGACUGUACAUCUUCUUACAGGCACUGUCCCCCCAAUAUAAUAAUCAUGAAACUGUACGUUUUCUUACAGGCACUGUUCCCCAAAAUAAUAACCACGAGACUGUACAUCUUCUUACAGGCACUGUCCCCCCAAUAUAAUAAUCAUGAAACUGUACGUUUUCUUACAGGCACUGUUCCCCAAAAUAAUAACCACGAGACUGUACAUCUUCUUACAGGCACUGUCCCCCAAUAUAAUAAUCAUGAGACUGUACGUUUUCUUACAGGCGCUGCUCACCCCAAAAUGAUAACCAUGAAACUAUGUUUUCUUACAGGUGCUGCUCCCCAAAAUAAUAAUCAUGAAACUCUACAUCUUCUCACAGGUGCUGCUCCCCAAAAUAAUAAUCACGAGACUGUACGUUUUCUUACAAGUGCUGCCCCCCAUUGCCACAUAAAUAUGUUGAGCUGUUAAAAUUAUGGUUCUAAGCUGUCUAUGGAGCCGCUCCUGGUCUGAUGUCUGUAAGGUCUGUAGUUGCAGCUCACUCUUCAUCCUGACGACUGAUUGGUUCUUUUCACUGUUUUUGUUCUUUUCUCCUGUUGGGGGCUUGCAGAUGUUUUGCCAAUUUUAUUAAUCAGUCUGUUCAAAUACCUAACUUUUAACCUUGCCUUCUUGUUUACAGUUAAAGGUUUUCUAGUUUCCUUUGUAUUGUCAUUUAGAAUGUUAUUUAAAGUCUCAUAUAGAUUGAGAGCUUUAUUGUCUAAAUGUUUAGUACUUUUCUGGAAACUGAACUUGGGUCUUCUGUAAGAGCAGUGUAUGUUCUUAGCUACUGUGCUGUUAUCUCCAGCCCCCAGAAUUAUUUUGUCAAAUAUAUUUUCUGCUCCAGGUAUGUAAGUGUAACACUGCUUGAUACUGUCCCAUAGGCUCCUUAAGUCCUCUCUGCUUAAUCAUCAUCAUCAUCAUCCUCACCAUCCUCACCAUCAUCUCCAUCCUCACUACCAUCACCAUCCUCACUGUUUUUAGUACUGUUCUCCAAACAGGAAAUUAGGAAUUAUGAAGCUAUUAAUUUAUUCAUGUCCCUUAUCCUUUGUUUCGUAUCUUAAGUUUGCUUUUAAACUUACCCAGUAAAAUUUAUGCCAGUGUACAUUUUUGGGUUUUGAAUUUUUGUUUGAGAUUGUAACUUAAUUACAACAUUUCACUCUCCUUUUGAGUCUUUAAACUCAUUGAAAUCAUGUUUUGUUAUAUGUCUUUGAACAUAUUUACAACAGCUGAUUUAAAGAGCCUCUCUGCUAACUUGUGUGUCUGAGUUAUCUUAGGAUCUGUGUUUUCAGCUACCAACUUUCCAAUGCUUGGCCAACUUUCCUGCCACGUUCUAAUUCCUGAUAACUGGAUCAGAUUUUAUUAAGACUUCCACUGGAAAAGAAACGGUAAAUGCCACCUUCCCAGUAGCGAUCGUAAUGCUACGAGCUAUUAGAGAUUUCUUCUGGAAAACUGGAAACAAG